rnacentral:rRNA from 1 species
UACAGGGGGUGCAAACGUUGCUCGGAAUUAUUGGGCGUAAAGCGCGCGUAGGCGGCUACUUAAGUCGGAUGUGAAAGCCCCUGGCUUAACUGGGGAAGUGCACCCGAAACUGAGUAGCUAGAGUACGAAAGAGGGUCGCGGAAUUCCCGGUGUAGAGGUGAAAUUCGUAGAUAUCGGGAGGAACACCGGUGGCGAAGGCGGCGACCUGGGUCGAUACUGACGCUGAGGCGCGAAAGCGUGGGGAGCAAACAGG